rnacentral:rRNA from 1 species
AACGAACGCUGGCGGCAUGCCUAACACAUGCAAGUCGAACGAGACCUUCGGGUCUAGUGGCGCACGGGUGCGUAACGCGUGGGAACCUGCCCUUAGGUUCGGAAUAACUCCCCGAAAGGGGUGCUAAUACCGGAUAAUGUCUUCGGACCAAAGAUUUAUCGCCUUUGGAUGGGCCCGCGUUGGAUUAGCUAGUUGGUAGGGUAAAAGCCUACCAAGGCGACGAUCCAUAGCUGGUCUGAGAGGAUGAUCAGCCACACUGGGACUGAGACACGGCCCAGACUCCUACGGGAGGCAGCAGUGGGGACUAUUGGACGAUGGGCGCAAGCCUGAUCCAGCCCUGCCGCGUGAGUGAUGCAGGCCUUAGGGUUGUAAAGCUCUUUUACCCGGGAUGAUAAUGACAGUACCGGGAGAAUAAGCUCCGGCUAACUCCGUG